CUACGGGAGGCAGCAGUGGGGAAUAUUGCACAAUGGGCGCAAGCGUGAUGCAGCAACGCCCCGUGAGGGACGACGGCCUUCGGGUUGUAAACCUCUUUUGGCAGGGAAGAAGCGAAAGUGACGGUACCUGCAGAAAAAGCACCGGCUAACUACGUGCCAGCAGCCGCGGUAAU
rnacentral:rRNA from 1 species